rnacentral:rRNA from 1 species
UACGUAGGGGGCGAGCGUUGUCCGGAUUUAUUGGGCGUAAAGGGCGCGGAGGCGGCCUUACACGUCUGCGCUGAAAGCCCACGGCUUAACCGUGGGGGGCGCGCGGAAACGCUAAGACUUGAGGCGAGAAGAGGCUGGUGGAAUUCUAGGUGGAGCGGUGGAAUGCGUAGAUAUACGGAGGAAUGCCAGUGGGGAAGGCGGCCUCCUGGUCUGGGAUUGACGCUGCGGCACGACAGCGUGGGGAGCAAACAGG